rnacentral:piRNA from 1 species
UCUAGGUAGAAGGAACUGCAUGAGCAAUGCC